rnacentral:rRNA from 1 species
AUCGAACGCUGGCGGCAGGCCUAACACAUGCAAGUCGAACGUGUGGCAGACGGGUGAGAAAUGUCUGGGAACCUCCUCGCUGUAGGGGGUUACCUACUGGAAAUGGUAGCUAAUACCGCAUACCAUCGGAUGUGCCCGGAUGGGCUUAGCUUGUAGGUGGGGUAACGGCUCACCUAGGCGACGAUCCCUAGCUGGUCUGAGAGUGUGACCAGCCACACUGGAACUGGGACACGGUCCAGACUCCUACGGGAGGCAGCAGUGGGGAAUAUUGCACAAUGGGCGCAAGCCUGAUGCAGCCAGGCCGCGUGUAUGAAGAAGGCCUUCGGGUUGUAAAGUACUUUCAGCGAGGAGGCGUUACUCGCAGAAGAAGCACCGGCUAACUCCGUGCCAGCAGCCGCGGUAAUAC